AUGGCUGCAGCGGGCGUCAACAUCUUGCUUCAGGGGCUACCAAACAGAGGAUCCCCAAAAUCGCUGGCUACUGAACACCAUGAGGCCGCUCGCCCACGGCCAAUCGAAAUCGAAUCGAUGCCGGCGGCCACACCGACCUACGUCAUGUCCUUUUCUCGGCCUGAUCCUAAGCGCCUCCUCCUUCACCGCCUCACCUCGCCCAGCAUAGCCAUAGGCGGCUCCAUGGGCCGUGGUGGCAUGGUGGCUAGCCACGCUGGGUCUCCGGGACGUGCCGGACAGCGUCGCGUUCCUACACCUUGGGGAUGGCUUUGGGUCGAAUUCUCCUCCGUGCAAUUUCGUGCUCCUUUGAGUGACACCAUGUAUUCCAGAGCUACUACAUGA
rnacentral:rRNA from 1 species